rnacentral:rRNA from 1 species
GACGAACGCUGGCGGCGUGCCUAAUACAUGCAAGUUGAGCGCUGAAGGUUGGUACUUGUACCAACUGGAUGAGCAGCGAACGGGUGAGUAACGCGUGGGGAAUCUGCCUUUGAGCGGGGGACAACAUUUGGAAACGAAUGCUAAUACCGCAUAAAAACUUUAAACACAAGUUUUAAGUUUGAAAGAUGCAAUUGCAUCACUCAAAGAUGAUCCCGCGUUGUAUUAGCUAGUUGGUGAGGUAAAGGCUCACCAAGGCGAUGAUACAUAGCCGACCUGAGAGGGUGAUCGGCCACAGUGGGACUGAGACACGGCCCAAACGCCUACGGGAGGCAGCAGUAGGGAAUCGUCGGCAAUGGACGAAAGUCUGACCGAGCAACGCCGCGUGAGUGAAGAAGGUUUUCGGAUCGUAAAACUCUGUUGGUAGAGAAGAACGUUGGUGAGAGUGGAAAGCUCAUCAAGUGACGGUAACUACCCAGAAAGGGACGGCUAACUACGUG